rnacentral:lncRNA from 1 species
CUCCGAAACUCUUACUACGAUCCGUUUUCAAAUAACAGUAAUAAAUAAAUUUAAAAAUAUAAGAAAAUAUUAUCCAUCUCCAAUCUGUAAAGUAAAUAGAGCGAGAGGCUCCAUUUUUUUUUUUUUGAUCUGUUUCGAUUCGUCAAAAAUUAGCUUUCGUUUAUUGCUGUAAAUAGAAAAAUAUAUCGAAGUCAAAAAUAAGAUUAACCUACUGCGAUUUUGCACUAGUCCGACAAAUAAUAGAGCAGGAGGUUGGGGGACCCUUGCAGCCCAUAUGUCAUGCCUCGGAUUCCAACUCCAUUCGGACUCACCAAUAGAUCUGUCGCAUAAAUAAAAAAUUCUGUAUUAAAAUUCUCAUUCAUUUUACCUCUAAAUUGGUCCAAACAAGAUUCUACUC